rnacentral:rRNA from 1 species
UCCUACGGGAGGCAGCAGUGGGGAAUAUUGCGCAAUGGGCGAAAGCCUGACGCAGCGACGCCGCGUGAGGGAUGAAGGUCUUCGGAUCGUAAACCUCUGUCAGAAGGGAAAAAUGUACAGUGCUCCAAUCAACACUGUAUUGAUGGUACCUUCAGAGGAAGCACCGGCUAACUCCGUGCCAGCAGCCGCGGUAAUACGGAGGGUGCAAGCGUUAAUCGGAAUUACUGGGCGUAAAGCGCGCGUAGGUUGUUUUGUAAGUCAGAGGUGUAAUCCCACGGCUUAACCGUGGAACUGCCUUUGAUACUGCAUAACUUGGAUCCGGGAGAGGACAGCGGAAUUCCAGGUGUAGGAGUGAAAUCCGUAGAUAUCUGGAAGAACAUCAGUGGCGAAGGCGGCUGUCUGGACCGGUAUUGACGCUGAGGCGCGAAAGCGUGGGUAGCAAACAGGAUUAGAUACCCUGGUAGUCC